rnacentral:rRNA from 1 species
CGGACGGGUGAGUAACACGUGGAUAACCUACCUAUAAGACUGGGAUAACUUCGGGAAACCGGAGCUAACACCGGAUAAUAUUUUGAACCGCAUGGUUCAAAAGUGAAAGACGGUCUUGCUGUCACUUAUAGAUGGAUCCGCGCUGCAUUAGCUAGUUGGUAAGGUAACGGCUUACCAAGGCAACGAUGCAUAGCCGACCUGAGAGGGUGAUCGGCCACACUGGAACUGAGACACGGUCCAG